rnacentral:rRNA from 1 species
UAGGGAAUCUUCCACAAUGGACGCAAGUCUGAUGGAGCAACGCCGCGUGAGUGAAGAAGGCUUUCGGGUCGUAAAACUCUGUUAUUGAAGAAGAACGUGCGUGACAGUAACUGGUCAUGCAGUGACGGUAUUCAAUCAGAAAGUCACGGCUAACUACGUGCCAGCAGCCGCGGUAAUACGUAGGUGGCAAGCGUUGUCCGGAUUUAUUGGGCGUAAAGCGAGUGCAGGCGGUCUUUUAAGUCUGAUGUGAAAGCCUUCGGCUUAACCGAAGAAGGGCAUCGGAAACUGGGAGACUUGAGUGCAGAAGAGGAGAGUGGAACUCCAUGUGUAGCGGUGAAAUGCGUAGAUAUAUGGAAGAACACCAGUGGCGAAGGCGGCUCUCUGGUCUGUAACUGACGCUGAGGCUCGAAAGCGUGGGUAGCAAACAGGAUU